GAUGAACGCUGGCGGCGUGCCUAACACAUGCAAGUCGAACGGAGAUUACGGACGGAAGUUUUCGGAUGGAAGACUGUAAUUCUUAGUGGCGGACGGGUGAGUAACGCGUGGGCAACCUGCCCUAUACAGGGGGAUAGCAGCUGGAAACGGCUGGUAAGACCGCAUAAGUCGGCGAGACCGCAUGGUUUUGCCGGGAAAUGAGCAAUCAGGUAUAGGAUGGGCCCGCGUCCGAUUAGCCAGUUGGCAGGGUAAAAGCCUACCAAAGCAACGAUCGGUAGCCGGACUGAGAGGUCGGGCGGCCACAUUGGGACUGAGACACGGACCAAACUCCUACGGGAGGCAGCAGUGGGGGAUAUUGCAAAAUGGAGGAAACUCUGAUGCAGCGACGCCGCGUGAGUGAAGAAGUAUUUAGGUAUGUAAAGCUCUAUCAGCAGGGAAGAUGAUGACGGUACCUGACUAAGAAGCCCCGGCUAACUACGUG
rnacentral:rRNA from 1 species